UACGAAGGUUGCAAGCGUUACUCGGAAUUACUGGGCGUAAAGGGCAGGUCGGUGGUUUGGUAAGUCUGUUGUGAAAGCUCCCGGCUUAACUGGGAGAGGCCACCGGAUACUGCCAGGCUUGAGUAUAGGAGAGGUUACUGGAAUUCCCGGUGUAGCGGUGAAAUGCGCAGAGAUCGGGAGGAACACCAAUGGCGAAAGCAGGUAACUGGACUAUUACUGACACUCAACUGCGAAAGCUAGGGGAGCAAACAGG
rnacentral:rRNA from 1 species